GGCUGUCACUAUAAGAUGGGCCCGCGGCGCAUUAGCUAGUUGGUAGGGUAAUGGCCUACCAAGGCGACGAUGCGUAGCCGACCUGAGAGGGUGAUCGGCCACACUGGGACUGAGACACGGCCCAGACUCCUACGGGAGGCAGCAGUAGGGAAUCUUCCACAAUGGACGAAAGUCUGAUGGAGCAACGCCGCGUGAGUGAAGAAGGUUUUCGGAUCGUAAAACUCUGUUGUUAAGGGAAGAACAACGUACGAGAGUAACUGCUCGUACCUUGACGGUACCUUAUUAGAAAGCCACGGCUAACUACGUG
rnacentral:rRNA from 1 species